rnacentral:lncRNA from 1 species
CCCGGUACCCAAAAUGUGUGGAACUCAUGAUCAGAGAAUCCUGAUUCUCAAUCACAGAGUCUCAGACAUGUAGGACUUAGAGUCUCUGAGCAUUAGGACUCUUGAUCGAAGAGUUCCAGUCCAGUGGGACUCUUCACCAACCAUCAGAUCAGAUAGGAACCUCUAAUGUGUGUGACCCCGCAGAUUCGAACCUAAGCCAGUAGCAUAGGAACCAAUUCCUGUAC